GGUCCGAGAGUAGUGGUGUUUACAA
rnacentral:piRNA from 2 species